rnacentral:rRNA from 1 species
AGAGUUUGAUCAUGGCUCAGGAUGAACGCUAGCGGGAGGACCUAACACAUGCAAGCCGAGCGGUAUUGUUUCUUCGGAAAUGAGAGAGCGGCGUACGGGUGCGGAACACGUGUGCAACCUGCCUUUAUCUGGGGAUAGCCUUUCGAAAGGAAGAUUAAUACUCCAUAAUAUAUUGAACGGCAUCGUUUAAUAUUGAAAGCUCCGGCGGAUAGAGAUGGGCACGCGCAAGAUUAGCUAGUUGGUGAGGUAACGGCUCACCAAGGCAAUGAUCUUUAGGGGGCCUGAGAGGGUGAUCCCCCCACACUGGUACUGAGACACGGACCAGACUCCUACGGGAGGCAGCAGUGAGGAAUAUUGGUCAAUGGGUGCAAGCCUGAACCAGCCAUCCCGCGUGAAGGACGACUGCCCUAUGGGUUGUAAACUUCUUUUGUAUAGGGAUAAACCUUUCCACGUGUGGAAAGCUGAAGGUACUAUACGAAUAAGCACCGGCUAACUCCGUG